UACGGAGGGUGCAAGCGUUAUCCGGAUUCACUGGGUUUAAAGGGUGCGUAGGCGGCUAUAUAAGUCAGUGGUGAAAGCUUCCCGCUCAACGGGAAAACUGCCAUUGAAACUGCAUAGCUUGAAUAUGGUUGAAGUGGAUGGAAUAUAUCAUGUAGCGGUGAAAUGCUUAGAUAUGAUGUAGAACACCGAUUGCGAAGGCAGUUCACUAAGCCAUCAUUGACGCUGAGGCACGAAAGCGUGGGUAGCGAACGGG
rnacentral:rRNA from 1 species